AUCUGUCUCAUGAUAUACUGAUCAACUGGUAUGAACUCAAGACUACAUAUCCCAUUGGCAUCAAAUAGUUCUCACUGAUACUCUGUUGCUAAUGGUUUUGAUAAUUCUCAUAGGAACCGUCAUAAUUGAAAUUCUUCUUAUCACUAUAUUUUUCAAAUCGGCAUUUGUAUCAAAAGCACCUAUCCAUUUAUAAAUUCUGAUAAAAGGUUCAGCAGCUGCCCUCUGUGUAAAGAGGAAGAUCUUGGAGGCAAGAAGAGAGCAACAAAAAAAACUCAAGGAAGACAAUGGCCAAGAAGAGGGAACAAAGAAAAUCAAAGUAAUGUUCAUGAUGACUUCUUAUUUCACUUUGUUUGUUGGUGACAAGUGUAUUGAUGGAUUAGAGAAUUGUUGAUGAUGGAUUU